rnacentral:rRNA from 1 species
GUGUCAGCAGCCGCGGUAAGACGUAGGGGGCGAGCGUUGUCCGGAUUUACUGGGCGUAAAGAGCGCGUAGGCGGUCUGUUAAGUGUGAAGUGAAAUCUCCAGAGCUCAACUCGGAAACUGCUUCGCAUACUGGCAGACUUGAGGAAUGCAGAGGUGAAUAGAAUUCCUGGUGUAGCGGUGAAAUGCGUAGAUAUCAGGAGGAAUACCCAUGGCGAAGGCAGUUCACUGGGCAUUAUCUGACGCUGAGGCGCGAAAGCGUGGGUAGCAAACAGGAUUAGAAACCCGCGUAGUCC